rnacentral:rRNA from 1 species
ACGCUGGCGGCGGCCUAACACAUGCAAGUCGAGCGAGACCUUCGGGUCUAGCGGCGGACGGGUUAGUAACGCGUGGGAAUAUACCCUUCACUACGGAAUAGCCUCGGGAAACUGGGAGUAAUACCGUAUACGCCCUUUUGGGGAAAGAUUUAUCGGUGAAGGAUUAGCCCGCGUCUGAUUAGAUAGUUGGUGGGGUAAUGGCCUACCAAGUCUACGAUCAGUAGCUGGUUUGAGAGGAUGAUCAGCAACACUGGGACUGAGACACGGCCCAGACUCCUACGGGAGGCAGCAGUGGGGAAUCUUAGACAAUGGGCGCAAGCCUGAUCUAGCCAUGCCGCGUGAGUGACGAAGGCCUUAGGGUCGUAAAGCUCUUUCGCCAGAGAUGAUAAUGACAGUAUCUGGUAAAGAAACCCCGGCUAACUCCGUGCCAGCAGCCGCGGUAAUACGGAGGGGGUUAGCGUUGUUCGGAAUUACUGGGCGUAAAGCGCACGUAGGCGGAUUGGAAAGUAUGGGGUGAAAUCCCAGGGCUCAACCCUGGAACUGCCUUGUAAACUCCCAGUCUAGAGUUCGAGAGAGGUGAGUGGAAUUCCAAGUGUAGAGGUGAAAUUCGUAGAUAUUUGGAGGAACACCAGUGGCGAAGGCGGCUCACUGGCUCGAUACUGGACGCUGAGGUGCGAAAGUGUGGGGAGCAAACAGGAUUAGAUACCCUGGUAGUCCACACCGUAAACGAUGAAUGCCAGACGUCAGGGGGCUUGNCCUUUGGUGUCACACCUAACGGAUUAAGCAUUCCGCCUG